GCUGGAUAACAGUAGACCCAUAGAUAUUGUCCCAAGAGAUGUAAACCUGAAAGACAAGUUCAUAAAGCAUUUCACAGCAGGACCAGUCAAGUUCUCAUCGGAAUGUAGAACACAUUUUCAUAGACUCUAUCACAACACAAGGGACUGUUCAAAACCAG